GACGAACGCUGGCGGCGUGCUUAACACAUGCAAGUCGAGCGGUAAGGCCCUUUCGGGGGUACACGAGCGGCGAACGGGUGAGUAACACGUGGGUGACCUGCCCUCAGCUCUGGGAUAAGCCUGGGAAGCUGGGUCUAAUACCGGAUAUGACUCCAUGACGCAUGUUGUGGGGUGGAAAGCCUUGUGCGGCUGAGGAUGGGCCCGCGGCCUAUCAGCUUGUUGGUGGGGNGAUGGCCUACCAAGGCGACGACGGGUAGCCGGCCUGAGAGGGCGACCGGCCACACUGGGACUGAGACACGGCCCAGACUCCUACGGGAGGCAGCAGUGGGGAAUCUUGCGCAAUGGGCGAAAGCCUGACGCAGCGACGCCGCGUGAGGGAUGACGGCCUGGU
rnacentral:rRNA from 1 species